rnacentral:rRNA from 1 species
GCUGUACGCUGGCGGCGUGCCUAAUACAUGCAGUCGAGCGAACAGACGAGGAGCUUGCUCCUCUGACGUUAGCGGCGGACGGGUGAGUAACACGUGGAUAACCUACCUAUAAGACUGGGAUAACUUCGGGAAACCGGAGCUAAUACCGGAUAAUAUAUUGAACCGCAUGGUUCAAUAGUGAAAGACGGUUUUGCUGUCACUUAUAGAUGGAUCCGCGCCGCAUUAGCUAGUUGGUAAGGUAACGGCUUACCAAGGCAACGAUGCGUAGCCGACCUGAGAGGGUGAUCGGCCACACUGGAACUGAGACACGGUCAAGACUCCUACGGGAGGCAGCUGUAGGGAAUCUUCCGCGAUGGGCGAAAGCCUGACGGAGCAACGCCGCGUGAGUAAGGAAGGUCUUCGGAUCGUAAAACUCUGUUAUUAGGAAAGAACAAAUGUGUAAGUAACUAUGCACGUCUUGACGCUACCUAGUCAAACGCCACGGCUAACUACGUGCCAGCGGCCGCGUUAAUACGUAGGUGGCACGCGUAUCGGGAAUUCUCGCGCGUAAAGCGCGCGUAGGCGUUUUUUAAGUCUGAUGUGAAGCCCACGCCUCACCGU